CAUCACGAUGGCCUGCGGCAGCGGCAGCAUCGCUACCUGCUGGGUGGUGUUGGAGCCGACGCGUUCGUCACGCGGCGGGAUGCC
rnacentral:tRNA from 1 species